rnacentral:rRNA from 1 species
AUACGGAGGGUGCGAGCGUUAAUCGGAAUUACUGGGCGUAAAGGGUGCGCAGGUGGUAUAUUAAGUUAUCUGUGAAAGACCUGGGCUUAACCUGGGGCAGUCAGAUGAUACUGAUAUACUUGAGUAUAGGAGAGGGCAGUGGAAUUUCCGGUGUAGCGGUGAAAUGCGUAGAUAUCGGAAGGAACACCAGUGGCGAAGGCGGCUGCCUGGCCUGAUACUGACACUGAGGCACGAAAGCGUGGGUAGCGAACAGGAUUAGAUACCCUGGUAGUCCACGCUGUAAACGCUGUCAACUAGCUGUUGGUCAUAUAGAGAUGAUUAGUGGCGCAGCCAACGCAUUAAGUUGACCGCCUGGGGAGUACGGUCGCAAGAUUAAA